UUAUUUUCUUUUUAUUUAUGGCAUAAUUUCUCAAAAUAACACAUCAAAACUUAUACAUCCUUAAACAUUAAAAAACAAUACAAAUGUAAGCAAUAUUUUUUAACUGCACUAUUUAAUCAAUAGAUACAUUAUGUAUAUUACUUAUAACAUUCCAUUAAAUAUAAAUUCAUUCAUCUAUUUAUUCAGAUUAAACAACUAUUAAGGCUGAAUGUGGCAACUCAUGCCUGUAACCCCAGCACUUUGAGAGGCUGAGGUGGGAGGAUCACCUCAGCCCAGGAAGUAGAGACUGCAGUGAGCCAAGAUCCCACAACUGCACUCUAGCCUCAGUAACAGAGUGAAACUCCAUCUCGAAAAAUCAACAAUUACAAUGCCUCUUACAUGGAAGACUGUAUUCCAGGUACUCCAGGAUACACACAAAUAUGUCUAUGACCUCCAGUAGCUCAUAGUAUGCAGGAACUUCAAGUGAUUAUUUAAACAACUAAACAUAAAAAUUCUGAAAUUUUAAAUUUCCAAGUGUAAUAUAAAGACUUUGAGUGGAUAGUUUAAAUAAACUACAAUGACAAAAUCAUGGUGUUAAAGUCUUACCAUAUUGGUAUUAAGAGUCUGCGUAUAUAACUGGUUAUUUGCAGUAAAAUACAUGUUAUUCAUUAGAUGAAGUGUUUUACCUAUACUCUUUAUGGACAACUUAUAAAACACAGAAGAAUCCAUUUGUAAUACAAAUUUUGAUAACAUAAAUUUAAAUUUCUACAUUUCUACAAUUUAUAUUUUUAAAGCAGAUACAAUCUGGUUAUGUUGCCCAGGCUGUUCUCAAACUCCUAGGCUCAAAAAAUCCUCCUGCCUCAAACCCCCAAGUAGCUGGGACUAAAGGCGUACACCACCAUACUCAGCUAGUUUUCUACAAAUUUUAAUAUUAUUUUAGUCUCACUACAGAAGUAAUAAUAGAAGUAGAAAAAAUAAUGUCUCCUAAAAACUACAUAACAAAAUAAUAAGUGUCCAAGAAAAGGUAUAUGCUAUGUGCUGCACAGUUUUGCCAAUAAAAAGUACCAGGGAGAUUCCAUGAUAACUACAAGUAAUUUGAUUCACUGAAGAUUCAUAAAGGCAUAAAUAUUAUGAAAGUAACACUAGUAUGAUUUAAAAGCCAAUAUUAAUAUUUAUCCAAAUAAACCUUAACCAAAUUUUAUAUUUCCUUUAUUGGGGAAAGCAUAUUCUAAUGUGAUUUUCCUGUCACUAUGUUUCCAGUUCAUUUUCUUUCAGCCCCCACCCUGUCACAGUACUUAAUCAAUCCUUUGUUAAUGAGGUUAAACAAUUUUU